UCUGCUGGACAUGGCUCAUAUCUUCACAAUAAGUGUGCAUGGAAGAGGAUGUCGGGUUCAUCUGAAACAGGAAAGUCACUGUGUUUGGAUCAGCUCCUCUCAUUGGCUCCCAUUUAUCGGACACUAUACAAAGUAAAACAGCAUGAAACUGUGCUGUCCUUUGAGAGAAACUCGAGCUGUCGGGACACGCUGAGCAAAGUCUAAUUCUCACUGAGGUUUGUCGCAGGGUGGGGCUCUCUGGGUGUGUCAUGUCAUAAUUCAUGACUCACAUCUGUGGAUCAGCGCGUUGUUUAUCAGCUCCAUUCCUCCAUGUGCCAUGUUCCCUGUGAGAGUGUGUGUGUGUGUGUGUGUGUGUGUGUGUGUGUGUGUGUGUGUGUGUGUGUGUGUGUGUGUGUGUGGUGACAAGCCCAUAUGAGUAGAAACUCAGGGAAGGGAACAUCAUUAACAUGCCGGUGGCAGCAGGGUUCUCUGCUCAACCUCACUGACAUUGUAAACUUUUUGGACUGUUUAUGAGAUUUAUUUAAAUGUUUUUUCUGCAAUGGGCCUUGAGAAAUUUCAUCAUUUUUAUUGCAAACUGCAAAGUGAAGUCAGGGUUAUAAAACAUUUGCCAAAAAAAACCUUGGAAAAUUCUCUUUUUUUCCCCCUGUAACCAUUUCUCCUCCUGUGUUUUCUCAGAGACACCAUUUUCCAGAAGUGUCUGAAAGGAUAACAUGUUGAGGUGACAAAGUUUCAUUGUGUAAACAGAAUUUUCUGCAAAAAUGGUUUUCAAUGCCACAACUCUAGAACAGCAACUUGACUGGCGCACAAAGUGAUACAACUCUGAGGCAGUAAUUCUAGUUGUUGUGAAAUGUUGCACAUUAAAACAAGAUAAUGACGUCAUACAAUUAUGUUAUGAUGUUAAAAUGUUUUAUGUCAUAGCAAAAAGUUCCUACAUUAGAACAACAUAAAUAUUGUAUUCUUAUAACAGGAACUGUUUCUUGUUAUGAUGUCAUAUGUACGUUAUAAUGUGAUACUGCUCCUUGUUUCUUUUUCAGGAAUUGCAGCAUUAUUACAUUGUCAUGUCUCUUAAAGCAUCGCCAAAAGUCCCCCACCUCCUGAGAUAAAUAAACUUUUGCAACACUUUCUUGGAUUAGCUUGGAAAUACAUUGUUGGACUGAAUAAAUAAGCUGAAAGGAGGAAUAUUUUUCUGAGCUCAUGAAAAGUUGACUUUUUUUUACAGAUAGAUGGGUCUCACAGAACAGCCAUGCUGCAAACAUCUUUUAUCUUUUACAAUAUGAUGCAUUGGUGGAGAUUCAACUACCCAACAGUAUAUAAAGUACUUCAAAAUAGCUGAAACUUAAAAAUAUACAGCAGUAAAAUGCAAAACAAACAUUACUGCAGCAGUAAUAUUAAUCCAAAAACAUCUGCUAUAACUCUAACCCACUGACUGAGCACUUCUCCUAUUAUACUUUUACUUAAAUUAGGUUUUAAAUGCAGCUUAAUUUACUUAAGGGAGGUAUUUUCAAACUGUUGUAUUAGUACAUAAACUUGAUCAAGGCUCUGAGGAUGAUACAAUAAGUCAGACAAUACAACAACUUCAAAAAAAGAAACUCUUUAUUGCAUAAAAAUACACAGACUACCAAAAAUAAUCAAUUCAUACUACAGCAGAAGAACAGCUGGGUGACUUCCAGGACUGGAUGAAUGUUAGUGAGACAUCCUCUAUAGUACAGCAUACACCCAUACAGUGACUAAGAAUGACUGAAAAAGCUGGCAGACUCAGGGCGUAAGUUAAAGCAGGUUUCACCUCAACUUCUACAAGCGUUAAUCUGUCUUAAUCCGUCCUCUCACUACUACCAAAUUACAGUGUUAUUGUAGUUAUUUAAGCAAUAAUUUGCUUCAUGAGUAACUCGAAAGACUCUUCUUUCUCUUGGUAAUACGCAAAUGUAAAAAUACAUAAUAAGUUGGACUUGUUUGGGCACGAAUUUGCUCUCGGCAUGAACAGCAAUGCGAGCAAUGACUGUGAUUAAGAGUCAGCGCCUUCAGUAAAACCAGGCUGACCAGUUUGAGAAGACAUUCAGGGAUGAGACAACACAAAUUUAGCUAAGGCACGAGGUUCACACACAGUAUGUCUGAAGAUUGUACGCCUUGGUCUCGGUGUCUCAUCAAACCAGCGGGAGUUUAGCCAAAGGACGAUUCAAACUUCAAGAUUUCUUUAAAUCCUUUAAGGAACUCUACUUUGAGUCAACGAAAAACUGAAACACACAAACAGAGUGUCCACUGUUCCCUUUAAACCAACAUUAUGACAUGUGGUCUCAUCAUAAAACCAGGCAGCUCACACCAGUUUGGACUGUUUGAAGGUAAUUGAAGGUAGAAUCUCUACACAAGAAUGAUUCAGAUGUCUUGAUAUUUUUUGCCAUUUCAGCCACAGAUCCUAAAACAACCCGUCUCUAGCCAAAUGACACACACACACAUCUUGCAGACGCCGGCCCGAUGAUUAGAAGCUACGUUGAAAAGACGUAGUAUAGAGGUAUUUGUCAAUUGGAAAGUUGUUGGAAAAAAGUCUUGCCAACGUCUUCCCGAUAACAAACACUGCCCGUGCUACGUUUUCUCUAACGUGACUUGCGCCGACCUCUGCAAGUCGGUUGUGUGAUAUUGGGGUAGAAGACAGCAUUCUAAAAAGUCUUAUUCAAGAUUAAAAAAAUAAGAACUCAAUAUGUUUCCAGUUUAGAAUGACGGCGAAGCAAAGUCAAUCAACCAUCAUGCCUCUGCCAGUCCAGUGGUGAACCGUAUUAUUAGUAGUGUUCAGAUACAAAGAAAAGCACAGCAAACUCCCACAGUUAUAUCCCUUUGGUAAUGUGAAAAUAACAAUUAAAAAAAACUUAUAAAAAAGGUGCAAACGCGACUGCUAAACUACACAUACGUUACUAUAGCAUACAUUCAGAGUCCAAACCUACUGUCCCUUCUCAAAGAAUACCAGACACACACACACACACACACACACACACACACACUGAAGAACUGAGAAAAGCCAAUUGUGACGCACUGGGACUAAACCACAUGAAGAUUAAUGAUUCUUUCUGCAAAUGUUUUUUGUCUGAAAUUGCUCUUCUACCAAGGUUUUUUUUUUUUUUUAAGGAGAU